GGGGCUAUAGCUCAUAUGGCAGAGCACUUGCAUGGCAUGCAAGAUGUAAGCGGUUCGAUUCCGCUUAGCUCCA
rnacentral:tRNA from 1 species